rnacentral:rRNA from 1 species
GACGAACCGAGCGAACGUUGUUCGGAAUCACUGGGCUUAAAGGGCGCGUAGGCGGGGUCGUAAGUCUGUGGUGAAAUCCUCCGGCUCAACCGGAGAACUGCCUCGGAUACUGCGGCUCUCGAGGGUGAUAGGGGUAUGCGGAACUAUCGGUGGAGCGGUGAAAUGCGUAGAGAUCGGAAAGAACACCAACGGCGAAAGCACUCUGCUGGGCCGACACUGACACUGAGAGACGAAAGCUAGGGGAGCGAAUGGG